AGCGUCAGUUUACACUUGACGCGUUCUUUCUCGAGCUACUACAGAAACGGCUGCAGGAAGAAGAAGAAAUCCGUGUUGCUCCGGAGCGUCAGUUUACGCUUGACGCGUUUUUUGAGGAGCUACUGCAGAGACGUCUGCAGUGAGAAGAGGAAAGCUACACUGCUACGGUCACUCCAGUGGCCUCCCUGCCAACCCACGGAUGCUCAACACUCCGCACCAUGCAACUCUUCAUAGCCACCAAGAGUUAUGCUGCCUGCUGGCGGCGCCGCCGUCAACUCGGCGCGUGGAGAAGGCCGUCUGG